GUGGGGAAUAUUGCACAAUGGACGGAAGUCUGAUGCAGCAACGCCGCGUGCGGGAUGACGGCCUUCGGGUUGUAAACCGCUUUCAUCCAUGACGAAGCGAGAGUGACGGUAGUGGGAGAAGAAGCACCGGCUAACUACGUGCCAGCAGCCGCGGUGAUACGUAGGGUGCGAGCGUUGUCCGGAUUUAUUGGGCGUAAAGAGCUUGUAGGCGGUUUGUUGCGUCGGGAGUGAAAACUCAGGGCUUAACCCUGAGCCUGCUUUCGAUACGGGCAGACUUGAGGAAGGUAGGGGAGAAUGGAAUUCCUGGUGAAGCGGUGGAAUGCGUAGAUAUCAGGAGGAACACCAGUGGCGAAGGCGGUUCUCUGGACCUUUCCUGACGCUGAGAAGCGAAAGCGUGGGGAGCAAACAGGCUUAGAAACCCUGGUAGUCC
rnacentral:rRNA from 1 species